rnacentral:rRNA from 1 species
UACGUAGGGUGCAAGCGUUAUCCGGAAUUAUUGGGCGUAAAGAGCUCGUAGGCGGUUUGUCGCGUCUGCUGUGAAAACUGGGGGGCUCAACCCCCCAGCCUGCAGUGGGUACGGGCAGACUAGAGUGUGGUAGGGGAGACUGGAAUUCCUGGUGUAGCGGUGAAAUGCGCAGAUAUCAGGAGGAACACCGAUGGCGAAGGCAGGUCUCUGGGCCACUACUGACGCUGAGAAGCGAAAGCAUGGGGAGCGAACAGG